rnacentral:rRNA from 1 species
GAUGAACGCUGGCGGCGUGCCUAAUACAUGCAAGUCGAGCGAACAGAUAAGGAGCUUGCUCCUUUGACGUUAGCGGCGGACGGGUGAGUAACACGUGGGUAACCUACCUAUAAGACUGGGAUAACUUCGGGAAACCGGAGCUAAUACCGGAUAACAUUUGGAACCGCAUGGUUCUAAAGUGAAAGACGGUCUUGCUAUCACUUAUAGAUGGACCCGCGCUGCAUUAGCUAGUUGGUAAGGUAACGGCUUACCAAGGCAACGGUGCGUAGCCGACCUGAGAGGGUGAUCGGCCACACUGGAACUGAGACAAGGUCCAGACUCCUACGGGAGGCAGCAGUAGGGAAUCUUCCGCAAUGGGCGAAAGCCUGACGGAGCAACGCCGCGUGAGUGAUGAAGGUCUUCGGAUCGUAAAACUCUGUUAGUAGGGAAGAACAUAUGUGUAAGUAACUGUGCACAUCUUGACGGUACCUAAUCAGAAAGCCACGGCUAACUACGUG